UGCGCGGGAAUUCGAUUAUUCGUCGACAACAGACCUUGAUCCUGACUCAGAUUGAACGCUGGCGGCAGGCCUAGCACAUGCAAGUCGAGCGGAUGAUGGGAGCUUGCUCCCGGAUUCAGCGGCGGACGGGUGAGUAAUGCCUAGGAAUCUGCCUGGUAGUGGGGGACAACGUUUCGAAAGGAACGCUAAUACCGCAUACGUCCUACGGGAGAAAGCAGGGGACCUUCGGGCCUUGCGCUAUCAGAUGAGCCUACGUCGGAUUAGCUAGUUGGUGGGGUAAAGGCCUACCAAGGCGACGAUCCGUAACUGGUCUGAGAGGAUGAUCAGUCACACUGGAACUGAGACACGGUCCAGACUCCUACGGGAGGCAGCAGUGGGGAAUAUUGGACAAUGGGCGAAAGCCUGAUCCAGCCAUGCCGCGUGUGUGAAGAAGGUCUUCGGAUUGUAAAGCACUUUAAGUUGGGAGGAAGGGCAGUAAGUUAAUACCUUGCUGUUUUGACGUUACCAACAGAAUAAGCACCGGCUAACUUCGUGCCAGCAGCCGCGGUAAUACGAAGGGUGCAAGCGUUUAUCGGAAUUACUGGGCGUAAAGCGCGCGUAGGUGGUUUGGUAAGAUGGAUGUGAAAUCCCCGGGCUCAACCUGGGAACUGCAUCCAUAACUGCCUGACUAGAGUACGGUAGAGGGUGGUGGAAUUCCCUGUGUAGCGGUGAAAUGCGUAGAUAUAGGAAGGAACACCAGUGGCGAAGGCGACCACCUGGACUGAUACUGACACUGAGGUGCAAAAGCGUGGGGAGCAAACAGGAU
rnacentral:rRNA from 1 species